CAACACCCAACCUAUUCCUAGAAGAAGCUAGUCUCUUUAUUAAAACAUCCAUCCAUUCAUGACGGAAGUACCUUCAUGACUGAAUGACUUCCAAGGACCCCUCAUCCUAUGCCUGUAAGAAUUAAAGCCAGCACAAAAGCUACCAUUUCCUGAGACCCUGAACCUGGAAACUUGUGGACAAGCUAAGCUAGAGGAUGAAGUUCACUGACGGGAACAAGAGUGACCCUGUCUCAAUCUCAAGCAAGGCAGAAGGAAAGAA